AUGGUGUCUACCGAGAGGAAUGCCGGCCUCCUCCUAAUGACUGUCGCGUGUCUUCUGGUGAAUCACGGCGAGGCGACUUGCAUCGGAAAGACCAUGCUGAGAUCCGGCGGUAUAUCGUGUGAGGAGAAACAGAUUAUCCUGGACGAGCACAAUCGAUUGAGGCAACUAGUGGCGCUGGGGCAGAUACACGGUCAACCUAGCGCGGCGAAUAUGAUGGAGAUGAUAUGGGACGAUGAGCUCGCCGCGAUGGCGCAAAGAUGGGCGGAUCGUUGCGCCGAGUCGCAUGACAGUCUAAGGAAUGUCCGUAGAUUUGCAGUGGGGCAGAACAUGGCUCGUUCGUGGACGACCAGGCCCCCGGGACCUUACGAUGGCGAACCGAAUUGGAGACGGCAAAUUUCCGGCUGGUUCAACGAGGUGCAAUACUAUCAUUCUGGGUAUAGCAGAACCACCGGACACUACACACAGUUGGUGUGGGGCGACACUUUCCUGCUGGGAUGCGGAUAUUCGUUCUACUACGACCCGGCUCGCGGCUACACCAAGAAUUACGUAUGCAACUACGGGCCGAGCGGAAACGUACUCGGCUUUCAACCUUACAAGUCGGGUCAGCCGUCAUGUGGCAAUUACGGAAUGUCUUACAGCAACCGAUAUUCUGGAUUAUGCUCCCGUGGAAGUUAUUAUCACCUAGGAGCUCUAUGUGUGUACGGAUAGUGCACGUGGGUAUACACAAAGUACACUUGCAAGUUUUGAGACGUACCGAAAUAGCAGUGCAGUUUGCGCGUCCACCGCUUCCUUCGCUGCGACAAUGAACGCCAAUGAUGACGAUCAAUUCUCAUUAAUGGGACAAUCGGCUACUGCGUCACGCAAAUUGCAAUUGAUAGUUUUUCAUUAAUUAGGAAACACGCACGGAAAGUCGCUUCGCCGCGCAUUAUAUCAAUUUGUACACAUAACGACGCGGCGAAUUAUCAUUAUUCGCCGUGGCGAAUAUUCCUGUAGCAAUAUUGGAUUAAUCAGAUGUGGCCAAGGCCGUCGAGAGCAGGUUCGGGUUCCGGUAAAAAAAAAAAACCUUUUCUAUCCCUCUUCUCUCUCCACCCAUUUUACGCCAAAGGGAAAGGAAACAUUUAUUCUUAAAGAACACGUGCGUGGAAGUUCCCUGGAAUUUUGUGACAUUAACGGAUUACUCACCAAAAACUAUCGAUCGAAACAAUAAUAACCUGGUGUUGAACCCUCAGUCAUUUGGGAUUUGCCCGAUCGCCGACCUCCAUUUCGUUUUUCCUUUCUUUUAAUAUUUCACUUUCCCUUCUUUUGUGAUUUUAUUUCAAUUCUUUUGAAAGGAACGAUAUAGGGAAAAUAAAAUGGGAAAAUUAUAUGUGUAAUUUAUAAGGUACACUUUAUGUAUUAUUCAGCUCUGAAAACAAGCAAAUUUUUCUAACACAACUGCACCGCGUCAGCUCCCGUCGAGAGAUACAUAUCGAGAAGAUACCGUUUAAGAGAUAAAGAAUAGAAUUCAGAUAUCUUCUUUAUCUAUUUUUAUUCUAGUUCAAUCCGUCUAGUCUAUUUAUAGUCCGUAGAAAUUAGUAAUUAAGUCGAUAGAAGAAUAACCAUUGGCUAGUGUUUAAUUAAUCGCUCGCGCAAGUAGAGUGUAAGUUCAACUUCUUUUACUAGUAUGUGUAAUUCAUGUGUAAAUAAUUGAACAUACACAAUACAUCUCAAUGCAAAUGGUUAUUUUUAUUUUUACUGUUGUACAUCCACGUAAGUGACCGAAAUAAAGAAGCAACGUCAAAUUA
rnacentral:misc_RNA from 1 species